CAGGACUUCGAGGCAGCGGGGCACUGUUCGUUGAGUUUUGAGGUUUGGGGCUGAGGGAAAAUGAGGUCAAGCCCGUGAACUUUCUGCCAGGGAAGAACAUAAUGAUGACUGUGGUCCUGAAUGAGAAGGUACUUUGGAAGAAGGCAUGGUGAAGGCUUUAACCCACGGUACUCUGUGAUCUUGGAUCUUGGUCUUUCUCUUAGUAAAGAGUUGGAAAACCAGUUCAAUCCACUUUUGAGAGAUUAUGGAGAAAGGCAAAUUCAGGCAAGUGAUUCAUAGAUUAAAAGUAUCAUGAAAAACAGGAAAUGAAGAAGCAAGACUAUAAUCAAUCCUAAUAAAUGUUCACUUGCUCGUGGGCUUUGCUUUAUUCCUGCUCAGUGACCAGAGCCCACAGUGGAGGCUGGAGCAGAGUGAGCAUUCAACAUAUACUGUUGAGUC